rfam:Aedes albopictus isolate Foshan contig156593, whole genome shotgun sequence.
UAGCCUAGUAGUUAAGGCCAUGGAUCGCCAAUCCGAAGACGGCGGGUUCGAUUCCCGU